rnacentral:tRNA from 1 species
GGUCCAUUAGUUUAAUGGUAGAACAUAGCUUUGAUAAGGCUAAAGCACAAGUUCGAUUCUUGUAUGGACCAC